GGCAGAGGCCUGAGGGUGGGGAUGGAGAAUCCUGACCCGGAAGUGGUUCCUGCAGGUCUCAGCACAACCCACUGGGUGGAAAGUCAGCCCCGUCCCUGCGCCCCCUCCAGGGGGUUCUGUCCUCAGGGCGGAACCAAAGAGCCAGUCGUGGUCUGAGCCUCAGCGUCAGGUGUGACACUCACAGACUUUCUUGGUUUAGCCCUGAGCCCUCUCUGUCCCAUGACAUGAUCCCAGUGUUAGACUGAGCCUCCAAGGGCAUCCUCCAUCCCUUAGUAGCAUUCUUCCCUCCUCUCCGCAUUUACUGUCUCCCUCUGGGCCCUCUGCCAGGACCUGACCCUACCCUUCCCUGGAAAGACUGAGGGCUAACAGCUCCCUCCCCCAGUAGCCAGACAAAGGCAGGGGUGGCUCUACUGAGGGGCAAAGCUGAGGCUUUGAAAUCCAGGGACAGUGACUGGGGCAAAGCAGGGGACUCUUGGGAAGGCCUGGGUGUACUUGGUAAAGGGAAGACUGACCAGGGGUGGUCACCUGUGCUCCAUCCGGGCUCAGCUGUGUGCUUUGUGACCCGGCGCCAGUUAGGACUUGGGGGAGAUGCCUUGUCCCUGGAGGAGCCCAUCAUUCCCUGGGUUUUCUGUCUAGAUCUUGGGUCACAGCUCUUGGGGGAAAGUGACUUUCCUACAUCAAUUGUGUUUUUUAUUCUUCUGCUCCAGCAAAUGCAGAAGUGUGUCCAGAGCUUACUUCUGUAAUGUCAAACUUCAUGUUGUGGCCUAAAGAGCGCUUCAACAACCAGAUUCAAAAAUUCGAUGCACCUGCUGCCGCUGUACAGGCCGCACUGCAAGGGAAGACAUGCGUAGACAAACUCUCCCUGUGGGACCGAGUAGCACUUGCCCAGUUUGUGGAGCUAUUAAAGAUCUUGUGUAACAAGCAGCUUAUAUAAACCUCACCUAUGAGGGCCCCUGCUUUCACUGAUGCCCUGACCUUCCCUGGAAAAUGUAGAGGUUUCAACGUCUUGCUUCAAUAAAUCACUUGCCCUGCA